GGGAGUGUGGCCGAGUGGUUAAGGCGCCCGCUUCAGGUACGGUUAUUCACUGGUCCUCACGGAUCGGUGGUGCCAAAGCCGGAAUUGCAGGUCUCUAUUAAGAGGCGCGAGUUCGAACCUCGUCACUUCCA
rnacentral:tRNA from 1 species